CCUACGGGAGGCAGCAGUGAGGAAUAUUGGUCAAUGGGCGGGAGCCUGAACCAGCCAAGUCGCGUGAGGGACGACGGUCCUAUGGAUUGUAAACCUCUUUUGUCGGGGAACAAAGGCGCCCACGGGUGGGCGGAUGAGUGUACCCGAAGAAAAAGCAUCGGCUAACUCCGUGCCAGCAGCCGCGGUAAUACGGAGGAUGCGAGCGUUAUCCGGAUUUAUGGGGGUUAAAGGGUGCGUAGGCGGACAGUCAAGUCAGCGGUAAAAGUGCGGUGCUCAACGCCGUACAGCCGUUGAAACUGGCAGUCUUGAGUGGGCCAGAGGUAUGCGGAAUGCGUGGUGUAGCGGUGAAAUGCUUAGCUAUCACGCAGAACUCCGAUUGCGAAGGCAGCCUACCGUCGCCCGACUGACGCUGAGGCACGAACGCGUGGGUAUCGAACAGGAUUAGAUACCCUGGUAGUC
rnacentral:rRNA from 1 species